GCCAGUCUGCGUGGAGCCGACCUUGAAAUACCACCCUUUAAUGUUUGAUGUUCUAACGUGGAUCCGUAAUCCGGGUUGCGGACAGUGUCUGGUGGGUAGUUUGACUGGGGCGGUCUCCUCCUAAAGAGUAACGGAGGAGCACGAAGGUUGGCUAAUCCUGGUCGGACAUCAGGAGGUUAGUGCAAUGGCAUAAGCCAGCUUGACUGCGAGCGUGACGGCGCGAGCAGGUGCGAAAGCAGGUCAUAGUGAUCCGGUGGUUCUGAAUGGAAGGGCCAUCGCUCAACGGAUAAAAGGUACUCCGGGGAUAACAGGCUGAUACCGCCCAAGAGUUCAUAUCGACGGCGGUGUUUGGCACCUCGAUGUCGGCUCAUCACAUCCUGGGGCUGAAGUAGGUCCCAAGGGUAUGGCUGUUCGCCAUUUAAAGUGGUACGCGAGCUGGGUUUAGAACGUCGUGAGACAGUUCGGUCCCUAUCUGCCGUGGGCGCUGGAGAACUGAGGGGGGCUGCUCCUAGUACGAGAGGACCGGAGUGGACGCAUCACUGGUGUUCGGGUUGUCAUGCCAAUGGCACUGCCCGGUAGCUAAAUGCGGAAGAGAUAAGUGCUGAAAGCAUCUAAGCACGAAACUUGCCCCGAGAUGAGUUCUCCCUGAGACUUAGAGUCUCCUGAAGGAACGUUGAAGACGACGACGUUGAUAGGCCGGGUGUGUAAGCGCAGCGAUGCGUUGAGCUAACCGGUACUAAUGAACCGUGAGGCUUAACCUU
rnacentral:rRNA from 1 species